GAGUAGACGUGACAGCAGUAAAGUUUAGGAAAUGCUGUGGCAUUAUGCUGAAUUUUUAUUUAGACCUUUUAAUAAGUUACCCAUACUGCCGAAAUUAUUGUUUAGAUACGCUGCUGUUUUGAUACAAUGGCAGAGCCAUGUAUCAACCGGAGGGAUGGUAUGGUAGAGAUAAUUAGAUAACACUUUGUAGCAUACGGAAUAACUAACUUUUAAAAAUGUUUUAUUGUUCAUGUUGUGUUAUUUGUGCACAGAAUAAUAGUAGACAGAAAGCAGGCUUAGAAAAACGCACAUGAGUACAGGUAAAAGAUUGGAUACAGUGUUUACCUAUUGUGUUAAUGACUAUAAGAAUAACCCCCGAUAAAAGAUGGGUUAUCCCCAUUUGAGAAAGUAUUUGGAAGACCAUAUAGAAUGCCAGAAUUAGGAAGGCCGGAACACGGUGUUGUAGAGACAGAAAAUACUAGCAGAACACAUGAGGAAACUGUUCAGUAACCACACCCGUAUGUCUGAGAUUUUAUGCCCUACAGGAAAACUACAGAAGGAGAUUACACACAAGCUUCUGCCAGGAGACUGGGUCUGCGUCCAAUCACUAAAGAAAUAGAACUGGAAGCAGUCACAGUGGGAGGGGCCAUACCAUGCUCCUGGUGACAGCCUUUGCGGUGAGAAUAGCUGAAAGUGCUACCUGGGUUCAUAUAACACAUUGCGGCAGGAGCCUGGGCAGAGACUACUCAUGUCGAUCCAGAGUUUGGCCAUGAGCUUCCUCAUCCAACACUACAGUAGUAACACCCUCAAACGUGUGUUGUUAAUCUUGUCCUACAGUGGUGUGAUGUGGAUCCUGACCUCUGCGCUGACCUUUUCUCUGGUCCAUAAACAUUUAAUCUCUGCGACGCAGGCCUCCAGCACGCUGGCUGUUGUUGCUAGUUGGGUGAUCAAGACAGAAACUACUGCCAUGGCAACAAGGGCCAGCUGUCACCUCUGUCUGUGUUCCUGGUCUUCACUGGUUCACUGGCUGUAAUCUUCACCUCUCUACGGGAGACUGGAGACUAGAUCUCUGUCUCCACUCUGACCCAUGUGCCUGUCACUGCUGCAGACCUGGAGCCAGAAUAAAGUGAAAUCGGUGAGGGGGCAGUUGAAAUCGGGCACAAUUUGGGGGGAUUCUUGCAUUGGAAUGACAUUGAAUUCCGCUUAUCAUGCU